CCUUCGGGUGAGUGGCGGACGGGUGAGUAACACGUGGGAACGUGCCUUUUGGUUCGGAAUAAUCCGGGGAAGCCUGGCCUAAUACCGGAUGUGCCCUUCGGGGGAAAGAUUUAUCGCCAUUAGAGCGGCCCGCGUCUGAUUAGCUAGUUGGUGGGGUAAAGGCCCACCAAGGCUACGAUCAGUAGCUGGUCUGAGAGGAUGAUCAGCCACACUGGGACUGAGACACGGCCCAGACUCCUACGGGAGGCAGCAGUAGGGAAUCUUGCGCAAUGGGGGAAACCCUGACGCAGCCAUGCCGCGUGAAUGAUGAAGGUCUUAGGA
rnacentral:rRNA from 1 species